rnacentral:rRNA from 1 species
UGGGCAACCUGCCCCUCUCUCUGGGAUAACCCCGGGAAACCGGAGCUAAUACCGGAUACUCCGGCUGGAUCGCAUGGUCCGGCUGGGAAAGGUCCGCCGGAGAGGGAUGGGCCCGCGGCCUAUCAGCUUGUUGGUGGGGUCAUGGCUCACCAAGGCGACGACGGGUAGCCGGCCUGAGAGGGCGACCGGCCACACUGGGACUGAGACACGGCCCAGACUCCUACGGGAGGCA